AUUCACUAGUUUCAGAUCAUCACAAGGUAAUGACACUGUUAUCUUUAUUUGUGUAGUAGAUGAAAGCGUUUUAUUAUUAAUUCUGGACAUAAAUCUAAUGUUUGUGUUAUAAUGAAACUAAACUUAAUGUAUUUAUUUAUUUUCCCAAGAGAUAAUGAAAAGUAGUUUAAGAGAAAUUAAUUCAUGGCAGAAGAUCUGUGCAGCAUCACAAACUGCAAGAGAAUUAAACCGAGAGGAAAAGAAAAAUGGCAAACAAAGUGGACGAGAUACAAUGUAAUGAACCAGGAGAGAAAAAGAUCCUGAGACGAGUCAGACACAACAGUAUUAAUAGUGGAAGACCAAACUUUUGUGAUGAUGCAGACAGUUUUAUUCUGACUGACUCUCAGAUGAGACAGGAGCAGCACCUUUCACCGGACCAGCAGAAUAAAUUUUAUAUUCAGUAUCUAACUAAACACUGCUU